AUUGAACGCUGGCGGCAGGCCUAACACAUGCAAGUCGAACGAGUGGCGGACGGGUGAGUAAUGUCUGGGAAACUGCCCAAUGGAGGGGGAAACCUCCUGUAAACGUUAGCUAAAACGGCUUAACAUUGGAUGUGCCCAGAUGGGAUUAGAUAGGAGGUGGGGUAACGGCUCACCUAGGCGACGAUCCCUAGCUGGUCUGAGAGGAUGACCAGCCACACUGGAACUGAGACACGGUCCAGACUCCUACGGGAGGCAGCAGUGGGGAAUAUUGCACAAUGGGCGCAAGCCUGAUGCAGCCAUGCCGCGUGUAUGAAGAAGGCCUUCGGGUUGUAAAGUACUUUCAGCGAGGAGGCGUUACUCGCAGAAGAAGCAUCGGCUAACUCCGUGCCAGCAGCCGCGGUAAUUC
rnacentral:rRNA from 1 species